UUCUGCAGCCGUGUCCAGAAGAGCCCGGGCCUAGUGGCUCCGAGGCUCCGCGACGCACGCCCCUUCUCGCGCUCCGCCCCGCGGUCACGGGCCCACGCCGACCUCUGCAGCCGCGCCGCCCACCGCUUCCUCACCCCGGGGCGUAAACCCGAAACCACCCGGUCCUGGGGCAUCGGCCUGCGUCCUGGCCGGUGGCCCGCCUCUCCGGAACAUUCAGGGACGGGCAGGGGGGUGGCGGCAGACCGAGCUGCGCUCCCGACGCGUUGCCGCCUGUAUUUGUUUCGUGACCUUGACCACGUCCCAGCCUUAACCUUCUCAAAGUUACAACUGGGAUAGUAAACCUUGCGGGAUUCGCCCGCUGGGCGGUGGAGUAAUAUAUUCCGGUGGGGAGGAAGGGGGCUUGGCGGAGAGACUGUCAACUAGUCUGUUUUCAGUCCUCCCCCCCAAUUUUGAGGUAAUUCAGGCCCUGGCCUGCGACCUCCUCCAGGAAGGGGGCUCAUGGGCGUUUAGGCUCCGCGGAGCCGGCCAUACUGCAGGCGAGUAGGUGCAGGCGGAGCGCCAGGUGGGGGCACAGGGCGCCCUUGGCAGCGUAGGCUGCACCGCCCCAUCCCGGCCCGAGGAGGAGCAGCCUCGCCCCGCACGUCCCGGAGGCUCGGGCCCAGCUUCGGCCCCGCGCCCGGUACUCGGCUCCGAGCUGACCCCGCCACCUCGCCGCCGCGGGCAGCGGCCGCGGAACUCCGUAGCCCCAGGCGGGAGCAGGAGCUGGGCGCCGGCCGACGCAACUUAGGCUGAGAGGGAAGUCGCGUACGUUGUGCGGAUCUGCGGGGCGCGACGAAGGCGACCCCGAGUCGCGCAGGAGACCUAGCCUCAGAGAAGGCACUGGCUUCUGAGUCUGUCAAACCUAAACGGAGAGGCUGUAAAGGAAGAAGUCUCCCAACCCUUCGCAAAAAUAUAAACCAUCUGGAAAAGAAAGCAUCUACUGGAUGGAAGGAGACAAUUGCAAAUGAAAGCAAUAGAAUUCAAAGGACUGAAGAAUCUGUGUGAUGCUACAGAUGAAAGCUCUAUCCAGAAAUUGAAGUAGAGGAGUAUGGCAACAUCGGAAGUUGUGUGUUAAAGCUGGUGGAGCCACAAUAUGGAAGGAGCCUAGGAUCCUGAGUCAGUGCCCAGAGCUUGUCCAAUUUCAGUUUUUCUUUUACUGAGGCCAUGGAUCCCUCCAUCCCCACCUUGACACUGGAAUUCUGCCUAAAAUGAAACAGCAACAGAACAGAGGUCAAGAACUUGGAAGGAUUCAUGUGGAAGAAACCAGAGCCGCAGUCACAUAGAUACAGGUAUAGGUCGGCAGACACAAACAGUUCCUGAAGCACUUUCCUCCACAACCUUAAGCGAUUCUCUCAACUACCUAUAAAGUCAGACAGGCUGGUGUUCUGGUGCCUCUCAUUUCUCCUCCAAGGAAACCAAGUCUCAGAGAGUUUAGCAUCCAGAAUUUGGAUCGAAUUUGAAGAAAAGGAAUCAUUUUCUCAACUGUGACAAUGCUUGAAACAACUUCUUGAACUCAUUUAGCUGCCGCUGCCACUGAUCCUAUUGUUUUGUUUUUUACAUCAUCAGAAUUUGAUCAAAGGGUUCACAAAAAUUAGAAAUACAGAGAGCAGAACACGCUGUGCGUCAGCUGCUGUAGAGAACAGAUGAAACAAACCCCAGGGUUUAUCGGGGGCCUGGGACUAACCCAGCCAGCAGCUUCCAAUAGAGCAGAGUCGCAAAUAAUUUCAAAUCCUUUUUUAUGAGCUUUUGUGAAAAUAAAUCUGGGUGCACACUAGAUCAACAAGCACUCUCCAAGAUGCAGGACAACCCAAAGAAGACCCUGUGAACUGGCUACAUCAAAUGCUGCUGCAUCAACAUUAGAUUGUAUAAUAAAUGUAAGUGACAAAAUAAGGAAUGAACUUUUUCAUGAGUUCUGAAAUGAUUCUACUUGUGUCAUUUUCUACCAUGAUUAUCAAGGAGUGUUGUCAUCUCAUUUGUGGAGGUUUUACAAGUGUUUUUUGUACUACUAAUGCCUGUUCUUUUUUUUUUUUUCUUUUGAAAACGGACAAUACAGAGAAGCAAUUAGAAACCAUCAAUGACCUUUGUCUCUAAGAAUGUAUAUUGCUAACUUUGAGAUAUUCUAUUCUGGUAUUUUUACUAUAGAUUGUCAUAUACAGUUAAUGUUAAACGUAAGUAUGUACUAUCUGAUAUAUAAAAAGCAUGUAAGCCAUGAGGUGUAAUAAUAAAGUGCAUCCCUGAAAAUAAACCAGGGACCAAAGAGUCAUUGCUAACUUGGCACUUUCCCCUGGAUUCCUCCCCUACUAUUUGCCUGCUUUGCUCCCUAGUCCCACACCUAAGGGUAACCUUUAUCCAGAGGUUCCCAUUUGGUGACAAUUUUCUCUCUGCAAUUUUGGACACAUUUUUGGUUUUCGAAAGAGGGGUGGGGUUUACAACCUGUGUCUAAUGAGUAGAGACCUGGGCUAUCGCUGAACAUCCAACAAGGCGUAGGUCAAUCACUGACAACUAGGUGUUACCACUUCCAAUGUCAAUGGGACUAACGUGGAGAAACCCUGUCUCUUCCUGUGUGUUGGAUUUAUCACGACCCUGCUUAAAAUGAUCUAAGUAAUUUGUCAUUUAAUUUUGCUGGUUUGGGGGGCACCUGGGUGGCUCAGUCAGUUAAGUGUCUGCCUUU